GUGGCCAUUAGUUUACAUGUAAACAGUUUGCAACCUGUCCGAGUCUCGAGGUGUUCACGUGUGCUUGUUCUAGAGCUAAUAUAUCCGGCCUACGCCCAACAUGAACGAGUUAAAGUCACUGGAGCAUGCCACAUUGAAGGUGCCGUAUGAAAUUUUCAACAAACGGUAUCGCAAUGCACAGCGCGUGCUAGAUAUUGAGGCUCGUCAAGUGGGCAACUCACUGAGUGAGGUGGAUGCUGCAUCCAAAAAGCCGGUUACUGCUGGAGAGAUGGACGCCUUACUUGGUGGCAUGGUGGAGAAACUAACAACAAUGAAGCGUAAAGCAUCCGAAGCAAUUACUGAGGAGGUCCAAGCGGCGGGGGUGUGCAAGAAACGUCUCGAUCAUCUCAAGGAGCAGGCCCAAGCACUCACUGAACCGAACUCACCACAAGUCAGAACAACAAUGAACCAGUGGCGCAAAGUCCGCUUGGAUCGCAUGCUGGUGGAGUACUUCCUACGCAACGGUUACUACAACUCCGCUAACAAGCUGGCCGAUGCGCACGGGUUGAGGGAUCUCACCAAUGUCGAUAUCUACAUGCCGGCGGCGGAAGUGGAGGCUGAGCUGCUCGGGCGUCGCACCGCGCGAUGCCUACAAUGGUGCGCUGACAACAGGUCCAAGUUGCGUAAGCUCAAUUCCACUAUGGAGUUCAAGAUUCGCAUACAGGAAUUCAUAGAGCUGGUUCGCGAAGACAGACGCCUAGAGGCAGUCCGCUACGCUAAGAAACAUUUCUCCACGUACGAGGAUGGCCAAUUGCAGGAUAUACAGCACUGCAUGGGCAUGCUUGCCUUCCCAAAGGACACUGACGUGGAGCCGUACAAGUCCCUCCUGGACUCGGCCCGAUGGACGGCCCUGGUGGAGCAGUUCCGCUGGGAAGCGGCGCGGCUGCUGCACCCCGCCCGUAUGCCUGCGCUGCCUGCCGCGCUGCAACUCGGCCUGCAGGCUCUCAACACACCUCAGUGCUACAAUGAAAGCACAAAGGUGUCGGCCUGCCCGGCCUGCGCCCCCCCACUCAACUCCCUGGCCAAAACCCUGCCGCACGCGCAUUGCAGCCACUCGCGACUCGUCUGUCGCAUCUCGCGCCGCCCAUUGGACGAACAUAACCAGCCGAUGGUGUUGCCCAACGGACAAGUUUAUGGCGAGAAGGCUCUGAGAGAAAUGGUAAAGGAGCAUGGAACCAUAAUUUGCCCGAAAACGAAGGAGACAUUCUGUAUGAAACGCGUCGAGAAGGUGUACGUCAUGUGAAUACUGUAUACUCUUGUAUAUAUGGUAGGAUACAUGUUGAACCUUUUUAUUUACAUCUGGCACGUAAAUGAUACGCGACUUUAAUGGUUUAGCGGCCAACAUUCUGGAUGCUUCACGAGGAGUUCCCAAAAAGUUAAAUAAAAAAGUAAAUUACAGGAAAUUUCCUAGGGACACCAGAUUUAUGGUAUUGUUAUAUAUUUUUUAUUAUAGUAACUAUACCGUGCCGGGAAGUCUUUAGAUAUUAGUGCAAAGAAAUUGUUGAAAGACAUUUCUUUUGAUGAGUAACAUUUUAUUUCGCUCCGAAUCUCUUUUAUUUUGGGAGUAUUUGUAUAAAAUAUAUUGUUAAUGAUGAUAAUUUUAUGCAUUUAUUAAAUAAUAGACCCUACUCCCUGGAGAAAGGGGAAUUGGCCAGAGUCUAGGGAAAAGGGUUUUGACGAUCGUAUCUACUUAUCACGUUAGUCGCUACCCACAACACUCGCAUGAUAUUUAUAUUGUUAAACUUCUUUAUUAAUGUACAAGACCAUGUAGUGGCUUCACUACUUUAAUCAUGUAGUAAUUUUUAAAAGUGUUCAUUCCUUGUAGUUAUUAAAAUAAAUUUUAUUAUAUCAAGCUGUACAAAUUUAUGAAAAUGUCUUUGAAAUCUAAAACUUAAAACUUAAGGAAUUGAUAAUGUCAUUAGCCAAGUAAUUGCCCAGUUUGAAUUUAAUGCUGUAUAAACUUAAAGCUAGUUGGCUUUUCCUACAGAGUUUUCUACACCUUUCGAUCCGAAGCGUUCCCUAUAGGUAUACUGACUUCGCCUAUUUAUAUUUGUACCAUUGACUAGAAUUUAUAAGUCUAUGGUUUAGUGAUCACAGCAAUAAUAAUUCAUUUAGUUGAUGUUUUCAUGAUUAUCCUCCUACUAAAACCCAGCAAGCUGCAACGGGCAAAGCGCUAAACUCAAAAUGUCUAAAUACAAUUCAAUGCUUCAAUCCCAAGCAAGUAUGCUCUCAGUUUUCUAUGAAUAUCGCAACCAGGAUUUAUUUUUGUGACAGAAAGUAGCCUAAAUUCAUUCUCUAAGGAAAUGUCUCUCUCAUCUACCUAUGUGUAAAAAUUAAUCACUUUUGAUUUAGCGGUUUAGUUAAUUUCGCAUUUAUAAUAUUAGUUAAAAUGUUUUUAGAUACAUCGUAUAGAAUACACAGCGCUAAAUUUGAAUACGAUAUUUUCAUCAUAGUGUACACUUUCGUGUACGUCAUCAUAGGAAUAAUAUUACCUGUGUCUGAAUCGCUUUACACGUUAUUUUGACACGGUGCCAUAAGAUAAUAACUAUGGAUUCAAGUCCUUAAGUCAAAAUAAUAGAGAGAAUUACUGUUGGGUAAUUUUCCGUAAAAUUUCAAAUAGUGGAAAAUUGGAAAAAUAUAAUUUCGAAGGCUCAUAUUAUUUUCUACGUUUAGAAAUAUCUUGUAUAGCUAAAAGCCACCUGAAGAAAAACGAGAUUUAAAAUUAUUUCACAACGGCGAAAAAAACUUUAUUGGCUCCAUGGUUUUUGUUCAGUAACUUCAAGUUUUGACAGGUCGGUGUCAACGUCAAAUGUGGAAAUUUCCCUGCGGACGCUUUCGCAACCAGUUGCGAAUGAGGAUUUUUACUCUUUCAUCCCAAAUAGUUGCCAAUCAAGAGUAUUUUUUCUACUACGCAACUAGAAAUCAUGAAACUUUAAAGGAAAAAUAUUGGAAAAAUAUCCGGAGAAAUAUUUAAUUUUCUGAAAAACAUGUUUUUUCAAAAUGGGAUUUUUUCCAUGACCCAACACUAGAGAGAAUAAACCACAGACCACAGAAUAAACAUAGAAAGUAAUCUAAAAAAAUAAUAACAAUAACAUAGUACUAAAGUUUUAUGAGAUGAAUUUUUUGCAUCUGAUGUAGGAUGUCGAGCUGUUCAAAGUUUCUUAUCAUAUAUAUUAUCAGGAUUAAUGUGAACAUUCAGACAAUUAUCCAACAAAUUCAGUAUCGUAUCGAGUAGGAUUGAAAGGUGCAAAUUGCUAAAUUUAAAAGAAUUUCAGAGC